rnacentral:rRNA from 1 species
UUGAACGCUGGCGGCAGGCCUAACACAUGCAAGUCGAACGGUAACAGGAAGCAGCUUGCUGCUUUGCUGACGCGUGGCGGACGGGUGAGUAAUGUCUGGGAAACUGCCCGAUGGAGGGGGAUAACUACUGGAAACGGUAGCUAAUACCGCAUAACGUCGCAAGACCAAAGAGGGGGACCUUAGGGCCUCUUGCCAUCGGAUGUGCCCAGAUGGGAUUAGCUAGUAGGUGGGGUAACGGCUCACCUAGGCGACGAUCCCUAGCUGGUCUGAGAGGAUGACCAGCCACACUGGAACUGAGACACGGUCCAGACUCCUACGGGAGGCAGCAGUGGGGAAUAUUGCACAAUGGGCGCAAGCCUGAUGCAGCCAUGCCGCGUGUAUGAAGAAGGCCUUCGGGUUGUAAAGUACUUUCAGCGGGGAGGAAGGGAGUAAAGUUAAUACCUUUGCUCAUUGACGUUACCCGCAGAAGAAGCACCGGCUAACUCCGUG